UCCAGACUCCUACGGGAGGCAGCAGUGAGGAAUAUUGGUCAAUGGGCGGAAGCCUGAACCAGCCAAGUCGCGUGAGGGACUAAGGCCCUGCGGGUCGUAAACCUCUUUUGCCGGGGAGCAGUGGUCCGGACGCGUCCGGACCGGGAGAGUACCCGGAGAAAAAGCAUCGGCUAACUCCGUGCCAGCAGCCGCGGUAAUACGGAGGAUGCGAGCGUUAUCCGGAUUUAUUGGGUUUAAAGGGUGCGUAGGCGGGCAUUUAAGCCGGCGGUCAAAUGUCGGGGCUCAACCCCGGCCUGCCGUCGGAACUGGGUGCCUUGAGUGGGCGAGAAGUAUGCGGAAUGCGUGGUGUAGCGGUGAAAUGCUUAGAUAUCACGAAGAACUCCGAUUGCGAAGGCAGCCUACUAAACUGCCACUGACAUUGAUGCUCGAAAGUGUGGGUAUCAAACAGGAUUAGAUACCCUAGUACC
rnacentral:rRNA from 1 species